rnacentral:miRNA from 1 species
GCUCUGGGUGGGGCCUGAGAUCUUGUGUUUCUAAGAGGCUCACGGCUGAUGCUCAGGAUC